rnacentral:lncRNA from 1 species
AGGCUUUUCAUCCUGCAAACAAAUAAGCUUUUUGGGGUGCAUAUAUAUGACGCCCUUUUGCUUUGGUGAGUAGAGAGGUGUUUGUCGAUGGAUGGAACAUGUCAUAUGAAGAAAUUCAGUAUUACUUUGAAAAUUCAAAGCAAAUUAUUAACUUUUAGCAGAGGAAGAGAGAUAAAAGGGUAAAAAAAACAAACUAAAAUUAUGAUUGUGGGAAUGGGAUGAUUGUUCCUACAGGAAAGAUAGGUAUGGGACAACAAUAGUACUACAACUAGUUCAUAUAAGAUGGUAAGGAUAUGGGAAUGGGAUGUAUGCUGCAGUAGAAAAGAUAUAUAGGUAUAGAGGAAUAAUAGUAAUACAACUAAUUUAUACAAGAUGCUAAUUAUAAGAGUGAGGGAUCAAAUAAGAAGUUUAAAGUCUUCUUCGGAGAAUUUUCUUCUCAUUUAAAAUCAGGUUCGAUCGAUUUAUCUACAAAAAUAAAUGUGACUAGGGUUACUCGUACUAAAGGGAAAGAGUAGUUGGGAAUGGAUCUAGUUGCAGCUUUCUUUGGAGAGAGAAAGGAUUAAGCCAGGGAUAGGGUGGAGUCCAAGCAGCGUCGGUAGGGGAAAUCUGCAGCACACACUGAUCCACCUACAGUGCAUACACAGCCCCUCAUCUCUGAUGGAUAAACUGUAGCAUGAAACGACAUUUCAAUCAGUGAUUGACCAUCUCUCUCAUUCUACUCUCACAAAAACAGGUCUUCAAGAAUUCAGAUGAAUGAAUGUAUAUGCAAAUAUUUGCAAUUGUCCCCAAUAGCAAUAAUGACAAAAAAGAAUAUGAGAGGGGGGGGGGACAAGAUUUAGUGAUUUUCCUUUUCUGAUCUCUACAAAAUAACCCCUCCAACGAAGAAACAGCACAAAGUUGGCUUAAAAAUUCCUCACUCUACUGUUCUAGAUCACUCUCUAGAUCCACCAACAGUAUUAACUUAAUACGAAUAUCAGAUUGCAGUUCGCCUUUAUUCACGUUUAAUGACUCACCCUUUUGCCGGGAAGGCCAGUCCUAUACCAAAAAUUGACAGCUCCCUCCCCUUGGGACCAUUCUUCUCCCCAUUGGCCAACUAGUUUUUUUGGCUCUCUCUCUACAGAUCGGUUCUUAUUUACAAAGGAUUAUCUUUUAAGCAAAUAAAGCACCUAAGCACUUGCAUACGUGUUAACUCAUGCAUGCAUGUACGUGCAGGAUUUGUGAAGAAUCCUCUUAAUUUCAAAAUCUAAAGUUUUAUAUUCUAACCCCCAAGAUAAUUCUUCAAGAUCUUUGAAUUUCUUUAAUAAAGAUAGGGGAUUAUAUUUAUAAAUGUCACACACAUCACAUGCAAUGCAACCAGCAAGCUAACAGAAGCUUAUUAUUAUUUGUUUUGCUUUCCCUAAAAGUUCAACUCAGCCUUUACUGCUUAAAAUCCCUAGGCAGCCCACUUUAUUUUAAUAUUUAUUUUGAUAUUUUCCCAUUAUCUAUAUUGUCUUUUCAACAUCACUUUUGUAAUUUAUACGGCACAUUUUCCCGUGAGGUUGUCGAGGAGACCAGGCAUCCUACAAUUACGUAAUAUAUGUAUGUAUAAAAUAUUUUUUAUAUUUUGCUUGUAUUCAUAUUCCAAUACAGAAAUGAGACAGCUUUGUGUCCCUUGAGCGCCAAUCACAGUACAGUUUCCCCUGCAAAUUCUAAUUUAAUAGGAGCACCAAUCUCCCCCCAAUAUCUUAGAAAGAUGUACCAUGUUUUCUUAUAUUACUGAAGUCAGUAAAAUUUUCAUAAUUUAUAGAUCUACAUUUUUAAGCAGCAUUAUUUUGUUUAAAGUUAAAAGUGCAUUAAUUCGUUUGUUAUCAUAAAAGACAUUUAAUAUCAAUACUAUUACUGAAUUAAAGCACAGAUAUGAUUAUUUGAUCACUACUUUAACCUAAAACAAAAUCUUGAAAGGGAUAUAAACAAAACCAAGGUCCUUUUUCUUUUUUACAAUUAUUAUUCUAAUCUAGUGCCAGUAUAAAUCAGGGCGAAUCAUGAAAGGUGACGCAUGUUAUUAUAAUUUAUUAGACACCAAAGAGCUUAAAUUCCCUUGCUUUCCAGUGAAAUGAUAAGCAAGGUACCCCAUAAAAUAAAACGAUAUGACCCUAAAAAAUGUAUGGACUAAAUUGCAAAAAAAAAAAAAGGAACUUUGAGGUAGGCCUGACCCUCAAAAGUAUUUGAGGCAACUUUGCUUGAGAGGCCCAAAAAGCAAAAAGAAAAGGAAAAAAAAAAGGUAGAAAUGAUCAUGACUCGCAAUCACAUUUACCUUUGAAAAAAGGCAAAAUAAAAUGAGAUAAAAUUAUAAAAUGGGAAAACAAACCUUAGGAUAAGAGGAAGAACACCUUUGAAAAGUCCUUUUUAUGGACUAUACUAAAAGCUAGAUAUAUAGGAUCUCUUGUUGCCAUGAUCAUUAUCCAUGACCAAAUUGCUUUAUUUGAUCCCAUAUAUUUUGUGGUGCUUUGGGUGUGCUGGGAGAGAUUCUCCAAGUUGUAGGUAAUUUGCAUUAAGAUAGCUAUACGUUUAAUUGUAUACAAAGCAAGAAAAAGAAAGAAAAAAGGCCUAUCAAGGCUCUCCAUUUCUGCUAACCAAGGUCUGAAGAUCAAAUGUAAGGUUAACGUUGGUUCAUUCCAUUCAAACCAAAAUGAAAAUGAAAUCAGGGUUUUAACUUGAAAACAAAAAAAGUACUAUUUUUAUCAGAUAAGUAAAGCAAAGGGUCUAAUUCUAAAAAACAAAAAAAUUGAAGGGUUUAGUUGCAUAGAGGAUCCUAGUAUACCAUAUUUGUAAUAGGUACCUCAGCGCAACAGUAUUU